rnacentral:rRNA from 1 species
GUAACUGUGUGGGCAGCGGCGGUGGGAAUAGGGAGGGUGGAAGCGUUAAUCGGGAUUAGUGGGCGUAAAGCGGGUGGAGGGGGUGUUGUAAGUCUGAGGUGAAAGCCCUGGGUGCAACCUGGGAAUGGCAUUGGAGACUGGCAGGCUAGAGUGCGGUAGAGGGUAGUGGAAUUCCCGGUGUAGCAGUGAGAUGCGUAGAGAUCGGGAGGAACAUCUGUGGCGAAGGCGACUACCUGGACCAGCACUGACACUGAGGCACGAAAGCGUGGGGAGCAAACAGGAUUAGAUACCCCGGUAGUC